UUCGGUUGAUCCUGCCGAAGGCUACUGCUAUUGGAGUUCGAUUAAGCCAUGCGAGUCAAGGGGACUUCGGUCACCGGCGGAAUGCUCAGUAACACGUGGACAAUCUGCCCUCGGGUGGGGAAUAAACCCGCGAAAGUGGGGCUAAUACCUCAUAGGCACAGGAGGCUGGAAUGCAUCUGUGCCCAAAGCUCCGGCGCCCGAGGAUGAGUCUGCGGCCUAUCAGGUAGUAGUCAGGGUUACGACCUGACUAGCCAGCGACGGGUACGGGCCUUGAGAGAGGUCGCCCGGAGAUGGACUCUGAGACACGAGUCCAGGCCCUACGGGGCGCAGCAGGCGCGAAAACUUCGCAAUGCAGGAAACUGUGACGAGGGAACUCCAAGUGUCUAUGCAAUGCAUAGACUGUUUGUCAGCCUAAAAAGCUGUCAAAGAAAGGAGUGGGAAAGACCGGUGCCAGCCGCCGCGGUAACACCGGCACUUCAAGUGGUAGCCACUAUUAUUGGGCCUAAAGCGUUCGUAGCCGGCUUGGUAAAUUCCUGGGCAAAUCGUACCGCUCAACGGUGCGGAUUCCGGGGAGACUGCCAGGCUUGAGACCGGGGGAGAUCAGAGGUACUUGCGGGGGAGCGGUGAAAUGUUGUAAUCCCGCAGGGACCACCAAUGGCGAAGGCAUCUGAUCAAAACGGCUCUGACGGUGAGGGACGAAACCCUGGGGCGCAAACGGGAUUAGAUACCCCGGUAGUCCAGGGCGUAAACGCUGCUGACUUGGUGUUGGGGGUCCCACGAGGGCGUCCAGUGCCGGCGCGAAGGCAUUUAGUCAGCCGCCUGGGGAGUACGGUCGCAAGACUGAAACUUAAAGGAAUUGGCGGGGGAGCACUGCAACGUGUGGAGCGUGCGGUUUAAUUGGAUUCAACGCCGGAAAACUCACCGGGGGCGACGGUUACAUGAAGGCCAAGCUGAUGACUUUGCCUGAUUUUCCGAGAGGUGGUGCAUGGCCGCCGUCAGUUCGUACCGUAAGGCGUUCUGUUAAGUCAGAUAACGAACGAGACCCUCAUUGCCAUUUGCUAGGCUCCUCUCCGGAGGGGUUGCACUAUGGCGAUACCGCCACUGCUGAAGUGGAGGAAGGAGGGGGCAACGGUAGGUCAGUAUGCCCCGAAUCUCCCGGGCUACACGCGCGCUACAAAGGGCAGGACAAUGGGCUUCGACGCCGAGAGGCGGAGGCAAUCCCUAAACCUGCUCGUACUUCGGAUUGAGGGCUGCAAUUCGCCCUCAUGAAGCUGGAAUACGUAGUAAUCGCGGGUCAACAUCCCGCGGUGAAUAUGCCCCUGCUCCUUGCACACACCGCCCGUCAAACCACCUUAGUUGGGUCUGGACGAGGGUUUGUCUUCUGACACGCUCGAAUCUGGGUUCAGCGAGGAGGGUUAAGUCGUAACAAGGUAUCCGUA
rnacentral:rRNA from 1 species